rnacentral:tRNA from 1 species
GUCGAAAUAGCUCAAUUGGCAGAGCGUUAGACUAAAGAGCUAAAAGUCCCUGGUUCAAUUCUGUGGUUUCGGCA